rnacentral:snRNA from 1 species
AUCACUUCUCGGCCUUUUGGCUAAGAUCAAGUGUAGUAUCUGUUCUUAUCAGUUUAAAAAUGUGAGCCAAGUGAGAUAGUAGUUUGCCCAGCCCUAUCAUAAAAUAAUAAAGCAUAUAUAUCCUCU